CGACAUGGCUCAGUUGGUAGAGCAAUUCACUCGUAAUGAAUAGGUCGCAGGUUCGAUUCCCGCUGUCGGC
rnacentral:tRNA from 1 species